UGGGGAAUUGUUCACAAUGGGCGCAAGCCUGAUGACGCAACGCCGCGUGGGGGAUGAAGGUCUUUGGAUCGUAAACCCCUGUCGAAUGGGACGAAAGACUCGCGAGUGAAUACUUCGCGAGAGUGACGGUACCGUUAAAGGAAGCCACGGCUAACUCUGUGCCAGCAGCCGCGGUAAUACAGAGGUGGCAAGCGUUGUUCGGAAUUACUGGGCGUAAAGGGCGCGUAGGCGGCCCUCUAAGUCAGACGUGAAAUCCCCCGGCUUAACCUGGGAACUGCGUCUGAUACUGGAGGGCUUGAGUAUGGGAGAGGGAUGUAGAAUUCCAGGUGUAGCGGUGAAAUGCGUAGAUAUCUGGAGGAAUACCGGUGGCGAAGGCGGCAUCCUGGACCAUUACUGACGCUGAGGCACGAAAGUGUGGGUAGCAAACAGGAUUAGAUACCCUUGUAGUCCCUGAGCGGGCUGGCAAGGCGCAU
rnacentral:rRNA from 1 species